CGUUGGGCUCCUCCCCAGCCGGCCCGGGCGAGGCCUGCCCCGUGCGCUGACCGGUGCAGCGGCCGCGGAAGGGGCCGGACGCUGAGCGGCGCCCGGCCCGGGGAGGUGGAGGAGACGGUUGCGGCGGCGAGCGAGGCGGCGCGGGCAGAGCCCCGGCUCCCGCGGGGCACCAUGCCGGGCGGGCGGGUGUGCGCCGUGUGCGGCGGCUCGGAGAUCGAGGUGGACGCGGCGCGGGGGGACGCGGUGUGUACGGGCUGCGGCUCGGUGCUCGAGGACAACAUCAUCGUCUCCGAGGUGCAGUUCGUGGAGAACAGCGGCGGCGGCUCCUCGGCCGUGGGGCAGUUCGUGUCUUUGGACGGUGCCGGUAAAACACCAUCAUUAGGAGGAGGAUUCCAUGUCAAUUUGGGAAAGGAAUCGCGCGCACAGACUCUCCAGAAUGGGAAACGUCAAAUUCAUCACUUGGGAAACCAGUUGCAACUCAACCAGCAUUGUCUUGAUACCGCCUUUAACUUUUUCAAGAUGGCGGUGAGCAAGCACUUAACCCGUGGGAGAAAGAUGACACAUGUAAUUGCUGCAUGUCUCUACUUGGUGUGUAGAACAGAAGGAACGCCUCACAUGUUACUUGACCUCAGUGACCUUCUUCAGGUGAAUGUCUAUGUGCUGGGAAAAACUUUCCUUCUGCUGGCCAGAGAGCUCUGCAUAAAUGCUCCAGCUAUAGAUCCAUGUUUAUAUAUUCCUCGUUUUGCGCACAUGCUAGAAUUUGGAGAUAAGAACCAGAAGGUAUCAAUGACAGCUCUAAGAUUAUUACAGAGGAUGAAAAGAGACUGGAUGCACACAGGACGCCGACCAUCGGGGCUCUGUGGAGCAGCUCUUCUAGUGGCAGCAAGAAUGCAUGAUUUCCGACGUACUGUUAAAGAGGUUAUCAGAGUGGUCAAGGUUUGUGAGUCAACGUUAAGGAAAAGGCUUACAGAAUUUGAAGAUACACCAACAAGUCAGCUAACGAUAGAUGAAUUUAUGAAGAUUGACUUGGAAGAGGAGUGCGAUCCUCCUUCAUUUACUGCUGGUCAAAGAAAAUUAAAGAUACAGGAGCUUGAGAAAGCGCUGUCAAAAAAGCUUGAAGAUGUUGAAGGUGAAAUAUCAAUUUACCAAGAUGAAAUAGAGAAUGAAUUAGAAAAUAGUAGGCCAAAGGCAAAAGGAGUAUUUGCCAAUUUGACUAAAGAUGAAUCUAUAGAAGAUAAUACGGCUAGUGUAUUUGGAGAGGAGGAGGCAGAAGAUGAAGAACUGGAAGCAGCUGCUAAUCAUUUAAACAAGGACUUUUAUAAUGAACUUCUCGAUAAAGAUAGAUUAAAGAAAAAUGAAGGGAGAGAAUGCAAAAAUGGAAAUGAAACUCCUGUAUGGCCACCUGCAUUAGAAUCUCUGCUUGGCCCACUCCCCACUGCUGCCAGCCUUGGGAUAACAGAAUCUAUACAAGACUGUAUAUCCACUAAGGAUCGAGACCACAAUGAAAAUACAGGAGAUGGUGAACUAGAUCUUAGUGGAAUUGACGACACUGAAAUAGAUAGGUAUAUACUUGAUGAAACGGAAGCUCAAAUAAAAGCAGAACUGUGGAUGAAAGAAAAUGCGGAUUAUUUGAAGGAACAAAAGGAGAAAGAAGCAAGAAUAGCAAAAGAGAAGGAGCUUGGGAUUUAUAAGGAACACAAGCCAAAGAAGUCUGCAAAAAAGCGGGAGCCAAUUCAAGCUAGCACAGCAGGAGAGGCAAUUGAAAAGAUGUUGGAACAGAAGAAAAUCUCAAGUAAAAUUAAUUAUAAUGUGCUAAAGGACCUGAACAGCAAAGGAAGUAGCACACCAAAGAAAGAGGAUGACAGCACCGAUGACAGCAGCAACACCAAGAAGCUGUCAAGAAGAAAAUCCACUGCCAGUAGGAAUAUAGCCAACACUGUAAACAGUAUGGGAAAGAGAUUAAGACCCUUGAUUUCUACACAACUAGCUAAAAAGGCUGCAACUGAAGAGGUAACCUUUCCAGAUUCACAGACAGAAGGGCCAGAGCUUGAAAAACCAGAGAAUGUUCUGGUAGAGAGUGGACCGGUAUCAUAUAACCAUGAUGAAGAAGCUGAAGAAGAAGAAAUAGAAGAAGAGGAUGAUCACUGCAUGAGUGCACUUCAGUUAAUGGGAGGAAAUGACCUCAGCAAUCCACACUGCUCUGAAAUAGCUGUACACAGAAAGGAUUCUGGGUAAUGAUUGGUAAAGAGACACAACUGGCCAUUUAGGGUAUAUGUACACUGCAGUUAAGACACUUGAAGCUGACUUGGGUUCAGGCUGCUGGGCUAUUUAAUUGUGGUGUAGACGUUCUGGCUCAGGCUGCAACCUGAGCUCUGCAACCCUCCCAUCUCACAGGGUCCUAGAGCCUGGGCGCCAGCCCAAGCCCAGAAGUCUACACUGCAAUUAAACAUCCCCAUUGCCCCUGCCUUGUGAGCCUGAGUCAGCUGACAUGGGCCUGCCAGGGGUUUUAAUUCCAUUGUAGACAUACACGUAGAGUUUCUGCUUGUAAUGGUACUGGAUUCGGGAUUUCUGAAGCCAGAUGUCCUAGUUGAAGUUCAUUGUUGGGUGACAUUUUGCUUCUUGGGAAUCUUCGGGCACAGAAGGGUGUUCUGGAGCUGCCUUUGAGCCUGGAUUACGGCUGUGACAUGGACGAUGAUGACGGUUAUUAGUCCUGUUUGCUUCCAAAGGAGAUGUAGUAAUUUUGUGAUUCCAAUGACUUUAUGAAUGGUGAAAGAAGCUGUCUGUGAUCGGCAGACAUAACUGAACAAUCCUGACUUUUGUAAAGAGAAGUUUAGUUGAGUGUUGAUUCUGGUCAGUUUACAUUGACCUAUAACCCAGCAAUAAAGUUUGGGUUUAUCGUACUUGAAAUUUUUUUUGGAUCAUGUUUUGAGGAAAGAAUUAAUGGAAGUAAUGUUUCCAGAGAACAAAGAAAAAUAGAAAAAUAGCCUGUAUGCAGAGUAUGUUGUGGUUAGAAACUACACGUCUCAUAUUUGAUCCUGCUUCAGGCAUGCUACUGAAAAGGAAUGUAUAGAAGAGGAAUAAAUUAUAAAGUAAGUAAAACCUCCACAUAAAUCUUUGAACUAUACCAGGGUUAAUUCUCUCAUAAUGCUAUAAUGAGAAAAAUGGAUAAUUUAUCUUUAUUAUUAAUGUGACUCUGCCAUUGCAUACAAGCUUCCCUACUUGAUACUCUUCCAAAAGUAAAUAAAUUAAGGAAAAAGAGAGAAUUCUAUGGCAAUAUCUCUUUAAAUUAAGUUAAUCCUCAGAAGCUAAAUAUAAAUUAAUCCUCAGAAGCUAAAUAGGUGCUACGUACAUUAAUAAUAGAAUUGUGUGUUCCUCAAGAGAUGCUGACAGUAGAAGAGAACAUGGUCACAGAAGGGUGGUUUCUACUGCUCUGUAAAUGCUGAAGAAGUAUUUGUGGGGAAAAAAGUGGUUAGAUAAAGGCAAAGCAUCUAUGGGGAAAGCAGGAGACACUGCUUUGGCCAAGUUCAUUGCAGUGACUAUACAUGACUAUAUUGCUGUGGUAUGAUGGUGGAGGUGGGUGCAGUAGGGUGACUAUUGCUACCGUUACUGACCUGCUGCAUUCUGGCUGGGUUUGGGAACAGACCUGCUCUGUGAUGCAGCCACACAGAGAACAGCCUGUCUCUAAAGGUCUAGGGAUUUUUAAAUAAAAAAGAGAAGAAAAAAAGCUGAGCUUUUUGGAUACAUAAGCUAGUUUGUGGUUUGACUGAAGUUUAAUUUAAUUUAUUUUACUUUUUUAUUGGUAAAUUAAAGGUCACCCAUUGGGCAACCUGAUUGGCUCAGCUUGACUUUCAUUUUGUACAGUAACUAACAGUGUUAUUGCCAGGACUUAGGCAUCUGAGAUCCUACACUUCAAUGCACUAGUCUUUCUGAUCCCAAACUCAAUAGAACAACUCAUCUGAAUUCUAGCUCUGUGGGUUAAAAUCAGGCCUGGUGUUGGCAGAUUUAGCUCCAUUGACUCUUACCUCCCUCUGCCCCCACCUUUAGGGCCUGAUCCAAAGCUCACUGAAGUCUGUGGAAAGACUCCAGUUGACAUUAAUAUGCUUUGGAUCAAGACCUUAAUGAUGUUGGGCGCCACAGGAGUUCUGACAUUUUCGUCUUUCUUACCUGGCUGUUGAUGGUCAAGGAAGCUGCACCAUCUGCCAGAACCAGCCCAGCUGAGGGAAGGUUAGUUAUACAUCUCUUAGCAAAACAGGCUUCCCUGAGCAGGGCUGCUACAGGUCAGAGUCUGAAUCUACUCUCUACUCACCCUGGUGAGGAGCACCCCUUUUAUUAUUAGGCAGAGAACUCAUCACAGAAACACCAUCCUGUUCUUCCCUCAACUCUGACUGGGGAGCUGAAAAAAUGUGCCUCACACACAGAAAGGGAAGUUGGAUAUUGGUGCUUCUCCCAGGAGCCCGGGGAGAAGGAGAUUGGGCAGUUCCUUUGAUCACCACCAGCUGGGCUGACAGAGAAGGAAACGGUGCUGUCCAGACUUCCAGAAACAUUAAGAGGGCAGAGGCACUUGACCUUCUCUUCCGACAGCCAGUAAAGGGGGGUGAAGGGAGAGGAGAGGUACGAUGAGCAGCAGGUCCUUGACCCACACAAGGCUUCAUUGGGACACAGUUUUAAUAUUGGCUUGACUAGUCAACGUAAUGCGUUGGCUAGUAUGUGUCUGCUAGAUAUUUUUGAGCCCUGUUUCUGCAAUGGCUAUGAGACUGCAUGUGCUGUUGCAGAGUUUGGGUAACAAAAUGAAUUGUCUAGCAAGUGGAAAGCCAAAACCCUUUUUGAAGCAGGCUUUGGAUUACUUGUCUGUAGAGUUUGGGCUUUGGAAAGAUUUUGGGGGUUGGAAAGAGGAUAUUUAGUGUAAUUCUUACGGGAAAAGCUGGUACUCUAUAAGAAAAGCUACAGAUGUUUUCUGCCUGCUUUGGUAGCUACACAAAUGCUGCUCUGAGAAUUAAAUUAUGGAGUUAAACCUUUCUAUCUGCACCAGCAUGCAAAAUCACGCUGUUAUAUCAUAAUAAUUUUAAAAAUACCAACCAGGUGCAUUAUGCCUCUGCAAAUCUAUGGUAUAACCUACCUAGGCCAGUUAGGUUGAAUUUGAAUAUUGCAGCACUCUGCCCAAGAGCAGUAUUGUAAGUACCCAUGUUCCUAGUAUAUUCUCAAAAUCUGGAUUUUACUCUAAGGUACAAAUUAUUUUAUACACAGGAAAUAAACAUAGAUAUUGACUCCUGGAGGGUAGAAUACCCUCCGAUCUCAAAGGUGUAAUGUUGGCUCUUGAAGAAGCCACUAAGAUGAAUUCUUUAUUGCUGAGAUUCUCUCUCACAUUUUUUGGUGUAGAUUUUCAUAGUUUUUUAUCCCACCCAGCAGAAUACUAAACCAGCUGCCAGGGCCAUGUCUCAUUAGACUGGGGAUCUGGGGCGCACAGUGGAGUCCACUACACUCGAAACAGACAAAUAGGAAACGAUAAUUUCAGUAAUGGGUUGGAUUUCUGGAAGCUGUGUUUUCCAAACUGGAGGCAAGGGGUUCUUCUCCAUUUAGGAGGGGAAAAUACUUGCAGGGGUUUUGAGUGCUCUCAUAAGAUUCAAUCAGAACAUGCUAUCUCACAGUUUACCAUAAAGGCACUUAGAGAGGACAAAAAGACCAACAGUUCCAUAGCAUCCCAGCAUUGCUAGUGAAUUUAAUUCUAUAUGCCCUUGUAUAAGAGCCUAAAUGAAAAGGGAAGGGCUGUGGUGUCAAAUAGGGAGAAUAUAAAGAUUUUCAAACCAGUUGCAUACAUUUUUAAUUUGCUGGUGACUAGCUGGGAUUUUUGUAAUUUUCCUUCCUUUGUGAUUUAACUAAGCUCAGGAAAUGUAAACAGAUUAGAAGAUGUUAGUUUCUGUUUUUAUAACCACUUAUGAAAAUGUAAAAAAGGUUAACGUAGCAUUAACUCUGUUUACUACUGUUAAUGUAUCAUAGUGACCUUGCAGAAAACGUUUUGCUGUAUUGUAGCCUGGAUUCCCUUGGAGUAAUUUGGACCCUACUUUAUUCAGGAUUCUAAUUAUAAUGAAGAGAGAUUAUAAGGCUUCAGCAUUUGUUGUUCUUAGAUCUUUGUACUAGAACCCACGUGAGCUACAUAUCUGUAUAAAGCAUAAAUGUCUCUUGCUGCAAGUCACUUUAUUUGACAGGCAAAACCCUCCAGCUGUUGCAUUGUGUUUGUCUGCCAUGAAGCCUCUUUAACACACAUUACUAUUGUGGGAAUAAAAUAUGAAAGAGGAAUAAUGAAAGUAACAAGAUCGUUCACCAUGAUAAUUGCAUUUUCUGUGUCUUAAUCUUGUAUGACGUUCUUUUAAAGUCACUACAUUCAAUACAGAAGAUCUUAAAUGGUGCCAGACAGCCUUAUGUUGUGGGUUACACGUUCAUCUAAAAAGUUCUUACCGUACUGAUGGCUUGUCUGUAUUCUCUUUGGAUUGUAUCGAAACUCUUAUCCACAGAUGUAUGCUGUUAAUGUGUCCUUUGCCCAAUAAGUGUACUACUUUUUAUUUUUGUAUUGAGUCUACACAUUUGAUGCAGAUAGUGCCAAGAGAAUUACAACUGUUCAAUGUAAGCAUAUGUAUCUUCUUUACACAACCACAAUGUGAGCCAUGUUCAGCUUUUUUAUUGUAAUAUAUUUGCUGUAAAUAAAUAAAUAAAAAACCCUUGCAUAUCACA